GCAUUUUUUUAAUCAUUUAAGCGGUACAUAAGGUUGGUACAAGUUCAACUACAUUAGCGGGCGUACAUUUUUCCAACUAAUGAUACAUUGAGAGUAGACAGGUCCACAAAUCCAGUUUUUCACAGAUCCUUGUUAGUAUUAAUAGAAGUGCAACUGUGAUCCGUAAAAAUGCCUCUAAGCACUGGAAAGUCUAGCAACAACACAGACAAUGUGCAGUAGAACUUACACAUUUAUUUUAAAAGAAGGAAAGUGACAAAGCAAACUAGCAGGAAUUAAGCUAGAAACAGCCUGGAUGGAUUGGUACUAUGAUUGAAAGUAGCAGGCAUUAAACUACCUAUUUCACGCAAGCAAGUUAAGCAGGAUAGAGGCUUUAAUUUAACCCCCACUUCUGCAGACAUCAGCACAUGCAUGCUUAUUAUUACCGCCAUCUGUUUUAUUCACAGUCGUUUCCAUCAGCUGUGAUAUUUUGCUUUUUUUAGUGUUUCAGGCCUGCUUUGAAGCUAUUGUGUUGUUAACUUUGGCUGAAUCUGUGUGUAGCAAUGUCAGCAUACUGAAAUUGUAACUGUUAGAUUAAUGAAUAACCUGAAGAAAUUAUCUGUGGAAUUUAGUCAUCAGGAGCUGUUUGAGUUCUAUAACAAGCUGGAAACCAUACAAGCACAGCUGGAUUCCCUUACAUGAUGUUUUUGAAGACUUAUUUCUCCACCACACUCCUGCCACCUCAUUAUUUUGAAUUGAAGAUAGAUUGCCAAGCUGUGUUUACUGAAGGAUUCAGUGGGUUGCUUCCUGUAAAAUUAUAUGGCUUAUCUCCUCUUAAAGCAGUAACAUUAGCCAAGAUAAAUCAUUGUUAAGAGCCUGAAGAUUGUAAUGGACAUUCUCUUGUUUUCUGAGCAAUUAUAAAAAGUGGCUUUAUUUACAGAAAAAAAAGAAGAGAAUGCUACCCGAUCUCAGAUUUUUGCUGUUGUUUGGUAUUUGGUUAGUUGUUCUUUUUCUCUCUUGGAUGUGACACUUGAUAAUGAAUAAAACCUAUUUUUUACACAUAGAACAAUAUAAAACUUUGGUAGUAACGAUAGUAAGAAAGUAUAGAAAGAAAUUACACAGCUGAUGAAAUCUCUGUCCUUUUGAAUUGUUAUUCUCACGAUAAGUAAUGCUUACUGCAAAUUUGUCAAAUUUUAAAUUUAGAAUGGAUUGUGCUUGUCUUGCUUUAAUUUUAUUAUCUGUUUUUUUUAAUUUUAAAUGAAAAUUGUUAAAUAAUUGAUAGUGUCACUGAUUUCAGAGUUUGCUUUUGACACUGAGAGUAAAUAUAGCUUCUUAGCACUGCAUGUAUGACAGUGAAUAAGUAAGUGAAGUGUAAGUGGGGAGAGAAAGCUUGGAAUAUAUAAUGAAGAACACUGAAAUAGUCUUACAACUGUAUUUCUGAGCAAUUUGUUCAUCCUUCCUAAUGUUGUCCACCGCUGAUUUUACAGGUAACAGGAAGAAAUAAAGUAAGUUGACUUAAAGGCCAAGUUAGUCUUAUUUUUACACAUUAGUUUCAGACGAAUGGAAGUUCACAAACAGGAUGAGAAGGUAAAAGUCAUCUUAGUUCCUGUUUGUUGCCAGCCAUUGACAGGCAGCUCCACUGCCUCACCUUGGUAAUGGGCGCAGUGUGACUCUUCAGGCUCACAAAAGGUGAAAGGAAGAGAAAAUCUUCAGUAUUAGCAUGUCUUUCUUUCUCCUUGAGGGAUUCUCCGUUGCUCUUCCAGGGCUGUGUGGAGCAUUUUGUGUUGCUUUGUUAGAGAUUGUGCUACCUCUUUAAAAUACAGGAGGACUGCUUGCCUAAGCUGAGAUAUUAGAAAAGGCUUAGAAGGUAAAGAGAGUAACAGCCUGUGUGUGAGUGAAAGGCACCAAAGAGAAAAAAGAGGUUUAACGUGGUUCUUAAUGGAAAUACCCUAUGAAACUGUACCAUUCUUGUCAGGUAAUGGUCUUACUCUAUUGGAAAGAAGAAAUGAGUCGUCAUUGCACAGUGACCUGUACAUUUUAUAAACGUGGGUGCCAAAUUGCCUAACCGUCUAGAGAGAUAACACUCCCACUCACAGACAGCUCAUCCUCGGUCUUGUCAGCAUAACUUGCUCUGCUCAUCUCAUGUGGCACCAGCUGCUACGUAUGUGCAGGUGAGAAUGUCCCCCCUACACCUUCCUCAGGACUCACCACCCUGCUGGCACUAACUCACAAUUAGCACAGGUUGGAAUGUCCCCCUCUUGAUGCUGAAGUCUUGGUUUCUCUGUUGGUCCUGUGGGGCAGUCUGUUGUGUGCUGGGAUGUUGCUUGUGAGUGCUUUACCUGUGUUCCCUGUGAACCAGGACUUAAAUUCUGGAAGUGGGUGGCAUCCCUUCCUGUUGCAGGUGUUUGGAUCUUCAUGGCCUUUAAUGUCCCUUCCAACCAAAGCCAUUCUAUGGUUCUGUUAUCCUAUGAAGUAAUGACUGAAGAAGCUUAAGGAUGUCUCUGUGUGGAUGCAGGACAUUGUCUGUGUGAGGUUAUGUAGUCACCUAUGAAUCCUAGAGAAGGAGGUGAAGGCAGGAUCUGAAAGGAGUGUGAGAAUCAUUGGACAAACCAGCAGGCACAUCUGUGUGAAGACAAUAGAAAGAAGCCAUAGACAGAGCAGGAAGAAAAUGAGUAUUGGGCACGAGAAGGAGGAAGGUUUGACAAAGUAAUGGAUAUGCCCAUGGGUGAAACUUGGGAGUUAGAAAGCUACAAGGAAGGCAGGAAGAACACUGGGAAAGACAGAAAAAAAAAAAUAUUGAUAGAAAAUAAUAGAGAAAAACAAAACAAAGAGCAGUUAGAGAGAAGAACUUCAGCUAGUAGGGGAAGGUAAAAGUGGAGAAACAAAGCAAACUGGAGUUAACUCUGAAGUCUGUGGCCAAAUGUGUAACUGCACCUAUUAUUUUGGACUAAUCCAUAAAUGUUAGACUCCUCAAACUUAGCCAAAGUUAUUAAAAUAUUAAAUUAAAAGCCUAGGAUAGAAGAAAAGAGAAUUUUUAAUCCAGAGUUAGUAGAAGAUAUUUUUAAAGAAACAUCAAAGGGAAAAAUAGAAAAAAACAAAGCGUAGGAUUGUAAUAUUUGUAAAAUGAAUGUAGUUUUCAUCCAUUCUUGCAGGUGGAUGAAGAGAUUUAUGAUUUCUUAAGCAGUGGUUAGCUAUGCUUUUUUACAGAAUUUUUUUACCAUCAGAAGCCAUAAUAAUAGCCCUGGUAAACAUAAUGGUAAGAAGUAUGCUCGUUAUUGAUCUUUUGUGAAGGAGCACUCAAAAAUAAAUGCUUAGCUUGGGAAGACUCUUCUGUACAUAAUGUGAAGCUUUAAGGUUGUACACUAGUAGGUAGUGGUGGUACAACUGGUAUCAUCUUCAGGACUAGCACUGUCACUCCUGAAUUAAAGAGAGAAGAUUGCCAACUGUGAAGAAGCCAGACGGGUUGUGUUAGUUGGAUCUGUCUUGCAGUAGGGAGUAAAUCCAAAGCUGUACUUCAUAGGAGAUGGGAAGCAAAAGAAGAGCUUUAGCCUAAACAGAACUGAAUAUACGAGGUUGGGGUUGUACCACCUGCCUCUGUGUUCAUGCAGGACAUUCUCAAACUUUUGUUUGUUCUAUUCUCCAUACUGAGAAAACAGCUUUGAAGAGUGUUUUGAGGAGGUGGCUUUGAGUUUUUGCUGAGGAAGAGAAUAAGUUACAUCUCAGACCUUGUUGAAUUCAGUGUCGUCGCAAAGCACUGGUCUGUAGUGUCUCUUGGAGAAUUUACAUUAUCAAGGUAAUGCUGAGAAGGGAAAGUUGUGCAGAUUUAUUGAGCUCUGAAUUGGAAAUCUGAAUAGUUAAAAAUUACUAAAUCUGCUUUGGUAUAUUCAGGUGCAUUUUAAAAACAUUUGGCCCAUCUUUGCUCAGACAUUACAACAUUUCCCUGACUGUACUUGUCUCAAAGCUGUAAUAUCAAAAUGUGCUUUAACUGAACCAUUGGCAGAAGAAAGAAAUAUUUGUUUUUUUGGUUUGGGUAUAAAUAAUCAUCAGUAUUGCUUAGACAUUAAGGCUGGGAAUUCCAGGUCAUAAAUGCAAAACAGUGUGAGAUCUGCAUAGAAAAUAUCACCAUACUGGGACAGAGCAACCAUUUGUACACUGCUUAGCAGAAACAAUACUAAUAAUGUACUAAGGGUUAUAGAGUACAAAUUUGUUAUAUUAUCUUUGCCCAGUUCUGCUUCAGGCAUAAAUUUCUUUUUUCUCAACAAAAUAGGAAUUGUCUGGAAACUUCUGCAUUGUGAUGGUUCAAAUAAGUUCUAUAGGAAGACAGAAGAAUAUAACUUUACUAUCUCAAAUUUUGACUAAGCUCCAAACCUGCUUUGGUUCAGUAGAGCAGGCUUUUAAAUUCCACUUUAAUUCCUGGGUUUAUUAACACAUCAGCUUCGAGUUCUGGCUUGCAGCCUCAUUUCCCUUGCCUUACAGCAUGAGAUUUUUAAAGGCUCUGAAGUCAUGUUCUUUCAAAGCAUAAGUAAUUUACUAAACCAUUACAUCUUAAGUUGGUCAAGGGAGAAGAAAUGUCUGUUGUGAUCAAAAAGUAGACUCUGUUACUCUGUCCUGGAGCACUUGUUCCAUUUCACAUUCACUAAUUUCCAACUGCAGCCGUGACAUUUCAUAGUUUGUCUGUAUUGACAUAUCAUAAUUUUUCAAUUAUGAAUUCACUUGUAUUUUAUUGAAGAAAUGACAGAUGCCUUUUGCCCACUGAAUAAAUAUCACAUCACUUGGUAACCGUACUGCAGCCCUUGUUUGACUAACAAAAAUGAACAGUGUUUGAAGGCAUUGUGAGAAAGUUCCUUUUCUAUGGAUCAGUCACAUUGAUCUUCUGAGUAACAAUGACUUCAUUUAGGUGGAUGAACUAAGGUGCUUCUGUCUGAUAUGCUGUUGAUGGUGUCUCAUAAAAAUAAACUAUUAAGGUGCCUUUAGCUGCAACUCUCGUACAAAGUGAUUUCUCAUUUCCAUAGUAUAAUCAGUUCUCUUGGAAUUUCAUGUGGCCUUCCUACCGGUUUUGAUGAGACGUUAUAUGCUGUCUUUGAAGUGAAUUUAAGCAUUUAGAUCUCUUUGUUCCUUCAGUUUUUUUUCUCAUGCAGUUAGAGACUUUAUCAGUCUGUUACAAGUCAGACGUGUCCAUGUGUAUUGAGCCAUGCGUUCAGGAAAACUUUUGUCCUUGACACUGUCAAGGACAGUGUUAAGUUAAAUACCUUCCGUGAUGUUUUUCCUAGGUUUUGUAUAUUUAUUGUAGACUUAGGAAGCCAAUAUGGAGCUCUGCAUACAUUGGAUGUGUAUAUUGGAUGUGUAACUGUCCUGAGUGCUGUUCACAGGAUGAUCUCCCCUUUCUCUUCAAGUGGGUCAUCUUUUCAUUUACCUCCUUGUCUGUCAUCACUGUUGCCUAGACUGUCCCUGUAUGGUGAUUCACAGCACCGACUCAUGGAAAUCUGAAAGAAUUAAUAUCUGUCUCUAAAAUGGACUUCAAAGAUUUAUACUUCCAAGCAGCUGGCCCCUGUCACAGAGAACUGCGGAUGGGGUUGGACGUGCUGGAGCACCAGACCCUGCCAUUUGAAAUUCCUUCUAGUCAUUCAGAACAAAUGAAGGGAGGAGAAGCAGCACUCCCUGGUCGUUGCUAACAAGACUCCUCUCAUCUAUGCUGUAUCAGAAGGUUUAUCAGUGAAUGCUACUACGAAGAGCUUGGUUUGUAAUUUCUCUUUCCCAUCCACAAGUGCAGUAGUAUAGCAACUUAAAAUUGCAUUUCAUCGGCAGAGCAGUGUGUGUGAGUAGUUGCUGUGUUAGAAUGCCCUGUUUUUUCCAUCACCCACUUUUUUGUUUUUCUGCCUCCAAAGUAAGCAGUGCAGAUAUGGGGAAAGGUGGGGGAAGCAGAUUGACUUACAGCUGCACAAUUAAUAUAUUCAGUAAGCAUUUUAAAGAGGCUUGCUCUCUCGGAUUUGUUUCUAUAUCAGAAGUGUUUUAAGUGUCCUUUCAGUCAGCAGAGAAUGGAUCUGAGCAAAGUAGGGAAAGGACCGUGUUAGCUGUUCCCCAACACUCACUGCUGAGCACUGGAGUACAGCUUAGCAGGAAGUCUUAGUUUUGUCCUCAGACUGCCAGUAUUGCUUUUUUCCUCAAUAACAGUGAAUGAGGAAAGGAUUAGAGAAGCUGACUGUGCUGAGGCAGUCUAAGAAUGUAUUCCAGAAUGAAAGUUACUAGCUUAGCUCUUCAGCCCAGAAAGGAUUCAAAAUUCUUCAUGACAGGCAGUGCGUUUACCCCUAUCUCUGCAUGAGGAAUGAAAUUGAAUAGUGCUUUGCAGCCUGGUGAAUCCCUGAUGUCUCAGGAGGUGCACCUAGUAGAUCUCUGUCAUCUCUUCUUCUGCCUGAAUAAAAUCAUCCCUGUUUGCCAUGAUCACUGUAGCUUGCAACAAACUAAAUAAUCUUUAGAAUCCAAGUUAAGACAGCAGGAGUGAAAUUCAUCAGAUCAAUGCAGAAAAAAGACCAUAAGCAUGAGCUUAUCCCUAUGGUGCUGUGUGCACUGCCUUUCUCUUACAAGAUGCAUAGCAGUCAUCCAAGUUUCAUAGAAAAUCAGGAUAAUGUACAAAAUAAGUAAGGGGUGAAAAAGGAAAACUAAUCAGAGCAGACAAUUUUUUAUGCGAAAGAAUUGAGUAUAUCUGUGAGGGUACUUGCAAUGAAACAUUCUCAGUUCUGAUCUGGGCAGCAUACACUGCGUGCACUCUUCACUGCAACACCCAAUAAGAACAUGGUUUCCUUUUGAUUUCUUUCUACAACUGGACUGCAAGUUCCUAUACCCUUUUGGCUGUCACCCCUAUAUCUACAUGUCAGAAGUUUUCUUGGUAGCUGACUGAUUUCUUUAUCUCUGCAGUGAGCAACAGAAGUACUUUGAAGACCUUUAUGUCAGGACUGAGAAUACAUUGUUCUCUGUGAACUUAUGCUCAGCUGGGCAGUGGAUCUCUUACCUAUUGCCAUGAACAGCACCAAACUGGGAAUGCAGAGCACCUUAGUACCCUGACUACUUUUCAAGAUGACUGGGAAAUGCCAUUUUUCUGGCAAGGAUCCUGAAAGAUUCUUUUCAAGGGAAACUGAUUGAACGGGUUGGCUUCUGAAGAUUGGGCUUGACGUCUGGGAGAGUAGAAAGAAAUAAUUCAGCUGGAAGAGACCCACAGAUGUCACUGAGUUCAGCUGUCUGACCAUUUCAGGGCUAACCAAAAGUUUAAGUAUGUUUUUAAGGACAUUAUUCACAUUUUUCUUGACAGGAGCAGGGCAUCAACUACCUCUCUAGGAAGCCUCCUCCCGUGCUUGACUGCUCUCAUGAGAAAGAAACUGCUCCUAAUCUACAGUCUGAGGGGGGAGUAACUCUGGAGACUUCUCUUUCAAUCAUUCCUCUUCUGGAAUACCUGCUAGUGGAAUUUAAAAAAAAAUAAUAAAACCUGAGAAUUUAUAUUGUUA